rnacentral:rRNA from 1 species
GAUGAACGCUGGCGGCGUGCCUAAUACAUGCAAGUCGAGCGAACAGAUGAGGAGCUUGCUCCUCUGACGUUAGCGGCGGACGGGUGAGUAACACGUGGAUAACCUACCUAUAAGACUGGGAUAACUUCGGAAAACCGGAGCUAAUACCGGAUAAUAUAUUGAACCGCAUGGUUCAAUAGUGAAAGACGGUUUUGCUGUCACUUAUAGAUGGAUCCGCGCCGCAUUAGCUAGUUGGUAAGGUAACGGCUUACCAAGGCAACGAUGCGUAGCCGACCUGAGAGGGUGAUCGGCCACACUGGAACUGAGACACGGUCCAGACUCCUACGGGAGGCAGCAGUAGGGAAUCUUCCGCAAAGGGCGAAAGCCUGACGGAGCAACGCCGCGUGAGUGAUGAAGGUCUUCGGAUCGUAAAACUCUGUUAUUAGGGAAGAACAAAUGUGUAAGUAACUAUGCACGUCUUGACGGUACCUAAUCAGAAAGCCACGGCUAACUACGUG